rnacentral:rRNA from 1 species
CCAGCAGCCGCGGUAAUUCCAGCUCCAAUAGCGUAUAUUACAGUUGUUGUGGUUAAAAAGCUCGUAGUUGGAUCUCAACGAUCUUGAAGCGGUCGACUAAGUGUUGUACUGCUUUGUAGGUCGUGCUUUUGCUGGAGGUUUAGAGGUGCUCUUGAUCGAGUGUCUCUAGAUGCCAGCAGGUUUACUUUGAAAAAAUUAGAGUGUUCAAAGCAGGCCUACGCUUGAAUACAUUAGCAUGGAAUAAUGGAAUAGGACUUUGGUGCUAUUUCGUUGGUUAAUGGGACCGAAGUAAUGAUUAAAAGGGACAGUUGGGGCCGUUUAUAUUUCGUUGUCAGAGGUGAAAUUCUUGGAUUUACGAAAGAUAAACUUCUGCGAAAGCAUUCGGCAAGGAUGUUUUCAUUGAUCAAGAACGAAAGU